rnacentral:rRNA from 1 species
GUCCACGCCGUAAACGAUGGAUACUAGCUGUUGGGAGUAAUCUCAGUGGCUAAGCGAAAGUGAUAAGUAUCCCACCUGGGGAGUACGUUCGCAAGAAUGAAACUCAAAGGAAUUGACGGGGGCCCGCACAAGCGGUGGAGCAUGUGGUUUAAUUCGAUGAUACGCGAGGAACCUUACCAAGGCUUAAAUGUAGUUUGACCGAUUAGGAAACUAGUCUUUCGCAAGACAAAUUACAAGGUGCUGCAUGGUUGUCGU